rnacentral:rRNA from 1 species
UCCUACGGGAGGCAGCAGUGAGGAAUCUUGCGCAAUGGGGGCAACCCUGACGCAGCCACGCCGCGUGCUGGAAGACGGCCCUAUGGGUUGUAAACAGCUUUUGAUGGGGAAGAACCUGGACCGUUCGCGGACCACUGACGGUACCCAUCGAAUAAGCACCGGCUAACUCCGUGCCAGCAGCCGCGGUAAUA